ensembl:lncRNA
CUAAAAAUAUCUUUAUUUCUACAUUUCUUCAUUAAAAGCACAGACAUUACAGAUGAGAAUAAUAAUUACAUUUAGAUGUAAAAAAAGAAAAGAGGAAGAAAAGCUCUACAGCUAUGGAAAGCAUGUAGUAAUGCGACAUUCGCCGGCGGAGGCGGAGCAGCACCGCCGAAGCUUUUUGGCUUUAAAGCGUUUCACAGAAUUUGAAGACAUUCACAGUAAAGCAGCUGCAGAAGAAAAAGAUCACAGUUCUGAUGCGUUAUAAGGCACAAAACCCUUCAAAUCAACCUUCUACAGUAAUGUAAUCUUCUCCGUACACCUUCAAGUGUCAAAAAAGUCCAAUUAUUACCCACAAAAACAACCAAAAAAAACCUGCACUAACCCGGUGAUAAAGACGAAGUUUAAACAUGCAACACUUUACAUGCGUCACGAUUUAGUGCAAUCAAGCCGAUAGAAUCCGUCAACGUUAUACAUUAUAUAUAAAAAACACUCUUUAUAGUACUCUGUCCAAACAGAGUCAUUUUACUCCUGGGAUUCGGGAUCGUUCGGAUCGCUGUCCUAAAUUCUCGAUGUAGACGUUAUCGUUAACGCCUCGCGGUAAAACCGCAGCACACGUCUGUGGACCAGCGUUUAUAGCGCGUUUAUUUAUUUAUUUAUUUAUAGAUUUCUUUUUCCAGGCGAAACUCGUACGUCAUGAUGGACGACCACGCCGCCCCGCCCCUUUCUUUCUAUUGGCUCAGACUUGACGAAACUCCCACACGUCCGUUCCCCUUCGGUGAAUCCGGCGUGACUCGCUCGGAGCGAAGCGCUCUCCGCUCUCUCCCGCAUACACGAGUUCACGGGAGCGUGCGGUCGGCUACUGGCGAUUUUUCUAACGACGGGAGAAUUUCAUUGGCCGCUUCAGCGGAGAAAGCGGGUGUCUCGGGGAGCGCUGCAGCGAAUCCGUAAACGUCCGAAUUCCUUAAUUCGCGAGUUCGCUGAAGCGUAUUGCACCACGCCCGUUCCCUGAAUGCUGGGAGAACAUCGCGCGCUCUGAUCCAUCGUCUCCCGUCUGAUUAUUGCAAAUGACGUUUUUAUUUUCUUAAAAUUUGAAAUGCGACUGUGUCUGAAUUCUAAACAAAAACAACUAAAAAACCCUGCUGAUCUAAAACGCCGUUAAAUCAAGUCUUGAGAUUUAUUCUUUUGCUUUUUUUUGUACGAAGUGCACUUACUCGUACCUUUCUGAAGAUUACACUGGAAUUAAAAAUAAAUAAUAAAGCGGCAAACACGAGGCUUUUGAUUUUGGAUCAUUUCCAGCUGAGGGUGAAGUUCUGACUGAGGUUCAGACCCAACUCGUCUACUCUCAACACCUAGAGAGAGAGAGAGAGAGAGAGAGAGAGAGAGAGAGAGAGAGAGAGAGAGAGAGAGAGAGGGAGAGAGAGAGAGAGAGAGAGAGAGGGAGAGAGAGAGAGAGGGAGAGAGAGAGAGAGAGAGAGAGAGAGAGAGAGG